rnacentral:rRNA from 1 species
CCUACGGGAGGCAGCAGUGGGGAAUAUUGGGCAAUGGGCGCAAGCCUUACCCAGCAAUACCGCGUGAGUGAAGAAGGUCUUCGGAUUGUAAAGCUCUUUUAUCAGGGACGAACAGAUGACGGUACCUGAAGAACAAGCCCCGGCUAACUACGUGCCAGCAGCCCCGGUAAAACGUAAGGGGCGAGCGUUGUCCUGAAGUACUGGGCGUAAAGGUUGCGUAGGCGGCAUAAUAAGUUAGAAGGGAAAAACCCAGGGCUUAACUCGGGUGCUGCGUCUAAGACUGUUGGGCUUGAGUGCGGGAGAGGUUAAUGGAAUUCCUAGUGUAGCGGUGGAAUGCGUAGAUAUUAGGAGGAACACCAGAGGCGAAGGCGAUUAACUGGACCGUAACUGACGCUGAGGCACGAAAGUGUGGGUAGCAAACAGGAUUAGAUACCCCGGUAGUC